rnacentral:lncRNA from 1 species
AUUGGAUAAUUCCUAUAAUCGCUCAGCUCUACAUACAGUGGCUGUUUCUCUCACCAUGUAGCAGUCCUCACACUCAGGGGCGCCGUCCCGGUCAUAGAACUGCAUGCCCUGCAGGGGGCGAUGGCAGCUCAAACAACAAAAGCAGUUGGAGUGAAAGAGUUUAUCCAUGGCCCUCACUGCCGGCUGUGUACGGGACAGGGCCUCGCCACAUUUUCCACAUACCUCUGAAAAUAAAAUAAAAAUAAAAUAUUUAGUUAAUCAAACUAAAUUUUAACAUCAGGGGCAACUUCCAGCCACUGAAUUUGUUUGGGCAACUUUAAAGGUAGUUGUAGAUCGUACGUGAUGUUGAGAUUUUAUCAAUUGCAUCUGUGACUUAAACAUGUUCCUCUCGUGUGUUGACAUGGGCAGGUACCUGUUGGAGGCGAGGUGAUGACUGGAGCGUGUGCGUCCAUGUUUUUCAUAAAGUCCUGCGUCAUCCUCUCCAGCUCUUCAACUUCCUUCAUGUUGAGAGGGGCACCUCCACCUUUACCCGGCACAGAGGGCUGUGAAAACAGGCAUCAACUAAGGCUGACCCCCGCAGCAGUGUCUCCGUCCAUAGCAGUCAGGCGAGCGCACCCAUGCUUCUAUAUUUAAACUACAAAGCGAG